AGAAUCAACGCUGGGCGGCGUGCCUAACACAUGCAAGUCGCACCGAGAAAGGGGAGCAAUCCCUGAGUAAAGUGGCGCACGGGUGAGUAACACGUGAAUCAUCUACCUCCGAGUGGGGAAUAACUGAGAGAAAUCUUAGCUAAUACCGCAUAACACUUACGAGUCAAAGCAGCAAUGCGCUUGGAGAGGAGUUCGCGGCAGAUUAGUUAGUUGGCGGGGGUAAUGGCCCACCAAGACGAUGAUCUGGUA
rnacentral:rRNA from 1 species